AUUCUGGGCACAUGUGGCCCAGCCCCCACCGGCUCCUCCAAGUAUGAAUCUAAAUUACUAUUAAUAAGGGGCUGCUCCAAGCUAAUUGGCAUUAAAAGAAUUCAUUUCAAUUUGUUAAUAUUAAAUGAACACUCUGCACUUUAGCUCCCUUCCUCGCCCUGGAUUCCCAGAUGAGUGAUGGGAAGCAGGGCGGGGGAGCAGGCAGGAUUUUAUGUCUGGCUUUCUAGCUUGGCCACUGUUGGGCCUUCCCUGGUGUUGUGAGACCAGGCAAGGUGGAGGCCUGAUGGGGGGAAAUCCAAGGGUCUUAUUCUUUAUCAUCCUGUAAAGCGGGAGCUGUGGGUAAGGGUGAGUGAAGGGGGUCAAAAGAGAGACAUAAAAAGGUUUAGGGGAUAGUGUGGUGGAAAAAGUGGCUAGGAGACUGGGAAGGUAAGUCAAUGGGCUGAAUAGAAAUUUGAAAACACAAGGGUUGUGGGCAAUGGGUGAGAUGGAUUUAGGAAGAAAGGCCCGUGCAGCUGAAAAUCUGACCCCAGGCUUAGGGCAAGCAGCCGGGGUUUUGCAGCUGCUAGCAAGGGACCCUGGACUUUUCUAUCAUUUCAGUUUCUUGGUCUGUGAAGCAAGGAUUAUAAAAUGAAGGAUAUGUCUUAGGGUUGUCUGAGAUUCCAUGAAACACACAUGAUGUGUUCUGCAGCAUGCUGGGUACAUAGGUAACACUACUACAUGUUGCCUCACUUUCUGAUCCAGUAAUUGAUGGAUUGGACUCUCAGACCUGCCUUGAAUUAGUUGUAUGCUCUCCAAGCAAUUAUUUGAGCAGUGCAUGCCUGUUUUCUUAUUGGUAUCAGAGUCAAUAGCUUCUGGGCUCAGGCAUGGAAGAUAGAAGGGAAUUUCAGUGCAAAGUGCCUGGAACAACUCAAGUCUCAUCAUGCUACAUGAAAGCUGCUAUGGACAAUGUUGCCCUUUGGGUGAGCAAGAAAAAAAUAUAUAUACAAGAUGGUUAGAUGCUUAAACUAUAGUAGCCAUGAAGACUUUUCUUUUGGGUUUUGAGACAGGAUCUCUUGCAGCCCAAGCUGGCCUAAAACUUGCAAUGAAACAAUCAAAGGGUGACCUUGAACUUCUGGUUCACCUGACUCUGCUUCUCAAGUGCUGGGCUUACAGAAGGAUGAAGGAAUGCUCUAUGGACAGAGCUGCUAAGUUACUCUUCUGGGACUGCUGUUUGUGGAUGAAUCACAGGGCCCUGACUGGGCUGCAACACUUCCAGGGCCUUCUAUUCCAACACCUCUUCCAGCGACCUGGUCAGGUGUGGCCAAUGGAAGCAAGAGCCCAGUGAAGUCGCCUAAGUCCGAGGGCAUGGUGUAACUCACACGGAGCACAACCCUACUUGGAAUGGACCAUUCGUGGCUUUAGAAUCUUGAUGGACACGAGCAACUGUCGGCACAAUCUAUUUAAGAGUAUUCUGAGCCCUCAGAGAGCAGCCUUCUGCCCACAGGUGACCAAAUCCUUAUCCUCAAUAACCCUUCUAACUGAGCAGCCAACGAGCUGCCCUCUACCUAUUCAGGACAGCCUAGGAAUGGCUUCAUGCAGUAGGUGGCCUUCUGUGAUUGGCUCCUUUUCCUUGGUUCUUAUGCGUUGCUGUGUCAAAGCACGCAUCCAUUCUCCUUCCUUCUCAUGGAUGAGUUACUUCAACGGUAGACAGACCACCUUCCAGGUAUGUGUUCAUCAGUACAUGGGCAUUUAGGUUGUUCCCAUGUCCAGAAAUUAUGAUUUUCUAUGUCUCUAGACAGUUUGAAUCAUCUAGAGUGAGCUCUGCAGCCAGGAACAGGCCUGACUUAUGUGUGGGAACCUCCAGUGUCCAUGGAAGCCAGGCUUUUGCACCUGGUCCAGGUGCUUCUCCCCUGGUUACAUUGCUGAGGAUGGCCAUUGACCCAGCAGCUCUCUAUUUGUCCCCUUGCUGUCCUCAGACCCCUCUCCUGCAGCUUCAGAGUCUGAGUGGAGAAACAGGAAUACUUCCCCAAGAUUGGCCCCAUGUAAUCCUCUAUGUGUGCUACUGGUAAAUGGAAACCUUCGGGCCAAGGGAAAGUCAAGUUCUUGAGGGUGUGUCUGCUUCAGAGUCCAGGUCUCCUUCCCAUGUCCCACCUCACUUCUCUCAGUCUACUCUUUCUUCUGCUGACACCAGAAACUGCCCUACCUGCAUCAAUCCUAACAUACCAGUGGGACCAGCAGGAUGCAUACAAGAAGUCCAAAUAGUGCCAGGUUGCAUUUGUUGAAUGAGUGGAUGAGGGAUGAUUCCAUACUCUGGAAAUAAACUGUGGAGAAGGCAAAGUUUCACAUAGCCCAGGCUGACCUGGAAUUUUCACAAUGUGACCGAGAAUAACCUUGAGCUUUUGAUCCUCCUGUUUCUAAUCCCAAGUGCUGGGAUCACAGGUGUGUGCGGAGACACUUGAUUUACUUGGUGCUGGGAAUAAAACCCAAGGCUUCUUGCACACUAUUCUACCGACUUCGCCAACAUGCUUUUCACCUCCUGAGCAAGUAUAAUAAAACUCAUUUUAAUUUCUCUC
rnacentral:lncRNA from 1 species